rnacentral:rRNA from 1 species
AUUGAACGCUGGCGGCAGGCCUAACACAUGCACGUCGAGCGAGCGGCGGACGGGUGAGUAAUGUAUGGGGAUCUGCCUGAUGGCGGGGGAUAACUACUGGACACGGUAGCUAAUACCGCAUACCAUCAGAUGAACCCAUAUUGGAUUAGCUAGUAGGUGAGGUAACGGCUUACCUAGGCGACGAUCCCUAGCUGGUCUGAGAGGAUGAUCAGCCACACUGGGACUGAGCCACGGCCCGGACUCCUACGGGAGGCAGCAGUGGGGAAGAUUGCAGAAUGGGCGCAAGCCUGAUGCAGCCAUGCCGCGUGUAUGAAGAAGGCCUUCGGGUUGUAAAGUACUUUCAGUCGGGAGGCGUUACCGACAGAAGAAGCACCGGCUAACUCCGUGCCAGCAGCCGCGGUAAUAC